UCAGUCGGCCGGACGGCCGCUCUCGCUACGGUCGAAAGGCUGCGGGAGAGGAAAGUCCGGGCUCCAUCGACAUACGGUGCCGGAUAACGUCCGGCGGGGGCGACCCCAGGGAAAGUGCCACAGAGAACGAACCGCCUUCUCUUAGGAGGAGGCAAGGGUGAAAAGGUGCGGUAAGAGCGCACCGCGGGUCCGGCAACGGAACCGGCAUGGCAAACCACACCGGGAGCAAAACCGAAUAGGGACGGCACCGCGGGCAGUUCGCGAAAGCGAAAACGCCGCAGGGCAAUGUCAGGCUCGCCGUCCGGGUAGGUUGCUCGAGGCCAUGUGCAAACAUGGUCCCAGAGGAAUGGCCGUCACGUAUCACUCGCGAAAGCGAGUGAUACCCUACAAAACCCGGCUUACAGGCCGGCUGAUGUU
rnacentral:RNase_P_RNA from 1 species